GACUCUUACCAAGAGAAUGUGUGUUAAGUGAAGUGCUCACACAGAUUGUCUGAUGAAAAUACUGAGCAAGCGCACCUGUUGAUGUCAUGAGUGUAGACUCAUGCUGACGCGAGCGUGCCGGGUUUAUGACCUGGUGCGGAUUUUUCGUGUCCCCAUCGUCUAGAGGCCUAGGACACUGCCCUUUCACGGCUGUAACAGGGGUUCGAAUCCCCUUGGGGACGCCAAUCCGAUAAUGAGUGAAAGACAUUAUCACGAAUAUCUUAAAGAUGAUUCUUCGGAGUCAUGUUUACGAUAUUGCUCUUUAACAAUCUGGAACAAGCUGAAAAUUGAAACAUGACAGCUGAACAUGCAUGACGGCCUGCGGGUGUGUCGUGGUGAAUCAGUCUGUCAAUGAGUCUCUCAAAUAAUCGCAGCGCGAUGAUGAAUCAAUUGAAACAUCUUCGGGUUGUGAGGUUAAGCGACUAAGCGUACACGGUGGAUGCCUUGGCACA
rnacentral:misc_RNA from 2 species